rfam:Dolosigranulum pigrum ATCC 51524 genomic scaffold supercont1.1, whole genome shotgun sequence.
GGAGCGUUAUGAUGAUGGGACUUAAUGAGAGUUAAGUAACCAAGUGUCUAGCUCUAGUUUUCCUAGGGGGAUUGCCUCCUAGG